rnacentral:rRNA from 1 species
ACUAAGCGUACACGGUGGAUGCCCUGGCAGUCAGAGGCGAUGAAGGACGUGCUAAUCUGCGAUAAGCGUCGGUAAGGUGAUAUGAACCGUUAUAACCGGCGAUUUCCGAAUGGGGAAACCCAGUGUGUUUCGACACACUAUCAUUAACUGAAUCCAUAGGUUAAUGAGGCGAACCGGGGGAACUGAAACAUCUAAGUACCCCGAGGAAAAGAAAUCAACCGAGAUUCCCCCAGUAGCGGCGAGCGAACGGGGAGCAGCCCAGAGCCUGAAUCAGUGUGUGUGUUAGUGGAAGCGUCUGGAAAGGCGCGCGAUACAGGGUGACAGCCCCGUACACAAAAAUGCACAUAUUGUGAGCUCGAUGAGUAGGGCGGGACACGUGGUAUCCUGUCUGAAUAUGGGGGGACCAUCCUCCAAGGCUAAAUACUCCUGACUGACCGAUAGUGAACCAGUACCGUGAGGGAAAGGCGAAAAGAACCCCGGCGAGGGGAGUGAAAAAGAACCUGAAACCGUGUACGUACAAGCAGUGGGAGCACGCUUAGGCGUGUGACUGCGUACCUUUUGUAUAAUGGGUCAGCGACUUAUAUUCUGUAGCAAGGUUAACCGAAUAGGGGAGCCGAAGGGAAACCGAGUCUUAACUGGGCGUUAAGUUGCAGGGUAUAGACCCGAAACCCGGUGAUCUAGCCAUGGGCAGGUUGAAGGUUGGGUAACACUAACUGGAGGACCGAACCGACUAAUGUUGAAAAAUUAGCGGAUGACUUGUGGCUGGGGGUGAAAGGCCAAUCAAACCGGGAGAUAGCUGGUUCUCCCCGAAAGCUAUUUAGGUAGCGCCUCGUGAAUUCAUCUCCGGGGGUAGAGCACUGUUUCGGCAAGGGGGUCAUCCCGACUUACCAACCCGAUGCAAACUGCGAAUACCGGAGAAUGUUAUCACGGGAGACACACGGCGGGUGCUAACGUCCGUCGUGAAGAGGGAAACAACCCAGACCGCCAGCUAAGGUCCCAAAGUCAUGGUUAAGUGGGAAACGAUGUGGGAAGGCCCAGACAGCCAGGAUGUUGGCUUAGAAGCAGCCAUCAUUUAAAGAAAGCGUAAUAGCUCACUGGUCGAGUCGGCCUGCGCGGAAGAUGUAACGGGGCUAAACCAUGCACCGAAGCUGCGGCAGCGACGCUGAUGCGUUGUUGGGUAGGGGAGCGUUCUGUAAGCCUGUGAAGGUGUACUGUGAGGUAUGCUGGAGGUAUCAGAAGUGCGAAUGCUGACAUAAGUAACGAUAAAGCGGGUGAAAAGCCCGCUCGCCGGAAGACCAAGGGUUCCUGUCCAACGUUAAUCGGGGCAGGGUGAGUCGACCCCUAAGGCGAGGCCGAAAGGCGUAGUCGAUGGGAAACAGGUUAAUAUUCCUGUACUUGGUGUUACUGCGAAGGGGGGACGGAGAAGGCUAUGUUGGCCGGGCGACGGUUGUCCCGGUUUAAGCGUGUAGGCUGGUUUUCCAGGCAAAUCCGGAAAAUCAAGGCUGAGGCGUGAUGACGAGGCACUACGGUGCUGAAGCAACAAAUGCCCUGCUUCCAGGAAAAGCCUCUAAGCAUCAGGUAACAUCAAAUCGUACCCCAAACCGACACAGGUGGUCAGGUAGAGAAUACCAAGGCGCUUGAGAGAACUCGGGUGAAGGAACUAGGCAAAAUGGUGCCGUAACUUCGGGAGAAGGCACGCUGAUAUGUAGGUGAAGUCCCUCGCGGAUAGAGCUGAAAUCAGUCGAAGAUACCAGCUGGCUGCAACUGUUUAUUAAAAACACAGCACUGUGCAAACACGAAAGUGGACGUAUACGGUGUGACGCCUGCCCGGUGCCGGAAGGUUAAUUGAUGGGGUUAGCCGCAAGGCGAAGCUCUUGAUCGAAGCCCCGGUAAACGGCGGCCGUAACUAUAACGGUCCUAAGGUAGCGAAAUUCCUUGUCGGGUAAGUUCCGACCUGCACGAAUGGCGUAAUGAUGGCCAGGCUGUCUCCACCCGAGACUCAGUGAAAUUGAACUCGCUGUGAAGAUGCAGUGUACCCGCGGCAAGACGGAAAGACCCCGUGAACCUUUACUAUAGCUUGACACUGAACAUUGAGCCUUGAUGUGUAGGAUAGGUGGGAGGCUUGGAAGUGUGGACGCCAGUCUGCAUGGAGCCGACCUUGAAAUACCACCCUUUAAUGUUUGAUGUUCUAACGUUGACCCGUAAUCCGGGUUGCGGACAGUGUCUGGUGGGUAGUUUGACUGGGGCGGUCUCCUCCUAAAGAGUAACGGAGGAGCACGAAGGUUGGCUAAUCCUGGUCGGACAUCAGGAGGUUAGUGCAAUGGCAUAAGCCAGCUUGACUGCGAGCGUGACGGCGCGAGCAGGUGCGAAAGCAGGUCAUAGUGAUCCGGUGGUUCUGAAUGGAAGGGCCAUCGCUCAACGGAUAAAAGGUACUCCGGGGAUAACAGGCUGAUACCGCCCAAGAGUUCAUAUCGACGGCGGUGUUUGGCACCUCGAUGUCGGCUCAUCACAUCCUGGGGCUGAAGUAGGUCCCAAGGGUAUGGCUGUUCGCCAUUUAAAGUGGUACGCGAGCUGGGUUUAGAACGUCGUGAGACAGUUCGGUCCCUAUCUGCCGUGGGCGCUGGAGAACUGAGGGGGGCUGCUCCUAGUACGAGAGGACCGGAGUGGACGCAUCACUGGUGUUCGGGUUGUCAUGCCAAUGGCACUGCCCGGUAGCUAAAUGCGGAAGAGAUAAGUGCUGAAAGCAUCUAAGCACGAAACUUGCCCCGAGAUGAGUUCUCCCUGACCCUUUAAGGGUCCUGAAGGAACGUUGAAGACGACGACGUUGAUAGGCCGGGUGUGUAAGCGCAGCGAUGCGUUGAGCUAACCGGUACUAAUGAACCGUGAGGCUUAACC